AUCAACUUUCGAUGGUAGGAUAGAGGCCUACCAUGGUGGUAACGGGUAACGGGGUGUUAGGGCACGACACCGGAGAGGGAGCCUGAGAAACGGCUACCACAUCCAAGGAUGGCAGCAGGCGCGCAAAUUACCCAAUCCCGACACGGGGAGGUAGUGACAAUAAAUAACAAUACGGGGUUCUUUAGGAUCUCGUAAUUGGAAUGAGUACAAUUUAAAUCCCUUAACGAGGAACAAUUGGAGGGCAAGUCUGGUGCCAGCAGCCGCGGUAAUUCCAGCUCCAAUAGCGUAUAUUAAAGUUGUUGCAGUUAAAAAGCUCGUAGUUGAAUUUCGGGGUUAGUAGGUUGGUCAUGCCUCUGGUAUGUACUGGUCUCACUGAUUCCUCCUUCCUGAUGAACCUUAAUGCCAUUAAUUUGGUGUUUUGGGGAAUUUGGACUGUUACUUUGAAAAAAUUAGAGUGUUUAAAGCAAGCUAACGCUUGAAUACAUUAGCAUGGAAUAAUGAAAUAGGACGUUCGAUCCUAUUUUGUUGGUUUCUAGGAUUGACGUAAUGAUUAAUAGGGAUAGUUGGGGGCAUUAGUAUUCAAUUGUCAGAGGUGAAAUUCUUGGAUUUAUUGAAGACUAACUACUGCGAAAGCAUUUGCCAAGGAUGUUUUCAUUAAUCAAGAACGAAAGUUAGGGGAUCGAAGACGAUCAGAUACCGUCGUAGUCUUAACCAUAAACUAUGCCGACUAGGGAUCGGAUGAUGUUAAUUUUUUAAUGACUCAUUCGGCGCCUUACGGGAAACCAAAGUGUUUGGGUUC
rnacentral:rRNA from 1 species